rnacentral:antisense_RNA from 1 species
UGUGGGAGCUGGCUUGCCAGCGAUGACGGCGGCACAUUCAGCACAAUGUUGUCUGUCAGUCCGCUAUCGCUGGCAAGCCAGCUCCCACA